CAUGCAAGUCGAACGGAAUCUUAUAUGUUCCUUGUCUCGAAUCUUCGGAUUAGAGCUACGGAACAAUAAGAUUUAGUGGCGGACGGGUGAGUAACACGUUGGUACCUACCCUCUAGUGGGGAAUAACUUCGAGAAAUCGAGGCUAAUACCGCAUAAUAUCUACGGAUUAAAGCAUUUAUGCGCUAGAGGAGGGGCCUGCGUCUGAUUAGUUAGUUGGUGAGGUAAAAGCUCACCAAGGCGACGAUCAGUAGCUGGAUCGAGAGGUUGACCAGCCACACUGGGACUGAGAUACGGCCCAGACUCCUACGGGAGGCAGCAGUGAGGAAUCUUCCACAAUGGACGAAAGUCUGAUGGAGCAAUGCCGCGUGCAGGAUGACGGCCUUCGGGUUGUAAACUGCUUUUAUAUGGGAAGAUUAUGACGGUACCAUAUGAAUAAGGACCGGCUAACUACGUGCCAGCAGCCGCGGUAAUACGUAGGGUCCAAGCGUUAUCCGGAAUCACUGGGCGUAAAGCGUUUGUAGGCGGAAAUUUAAGUGAGAUGCGAAAUCUUGUGGCUCAACCAUAUAGACGGUAUCUCAUACUGGGUUUCUAGAAGAUAGCAGAGGUAAGUGGAAUUAGUAGUGUAGCGGUAAAAUGCGUAGAUAUUACUAGGAACACCAAUGGCGAAGGCAGCUUACUGGGCUAUAUUUGACGCUGAGAAACGAAAGCGUGGGGAGCGAACAGGAUUAGAUACCCUGGUAGUCCACGCCGUAAACGAUGUGUGCUAUUAGUUCGAGGUAUCGACCCCUUGGGCUGAACAGCUAACGCGUUAAGCACACCGCCUGGGGAGUACGAGCGCAAGCUUAAAACUCAAAGGAAUUGACGGGGACCCGCACAAGCAGAGGAUGAUGUGGUUUAAUAUGAAGCUACGCGUAGAACCUUACCGAGGUUUGACAUCCCAGGAAGUCAGUCGAAAGACAGAUGUGCCUUCGGGAACCUGGUGACAGGUGCUGCAUGGCCGUCGUCAGCUCGUGUCGUGAGAUGUUGGGUUAAGUCCCGCAACGAGCGCAACCCUUAUCGUAUGUUGAAUUUUUCAUACGAAACUGCCCGGGCCAACCGGGAGGAAGGUGGGGACGACGUCAGGUCGGCAUGGCCCUUACACCUCGGGCCACUCACGUCAUACAAUGGCCGGUACAAAGGGCAGCUACCCCGUGAGGGGAUGCUAAUCUCUAAAGCCGGUCUCCAGUUCGGAUCGAAGUCUGCAACCCGACUUCGGAAGCUG
rnacentral:rRNA from 1 species